ACUCCUGCAGCAUGUUCCAUUUAAGUGAGAAGAUCCAGACAGAUUUGUAUAAACCUCUAUGCUUCUAUCAGGAAAUAAGCUUUUUUAUAUGUAUUCAAGAUUGGUAAAUGGCUUACUUCACACAAUUGUUCUUGUUCUGGCAACCACAGGCACAUGUUGGACAAGGAGUGAUUGUUGAGUUAUAAAAAGAUGACAUUGAAACGCAGCAGGUUGGGCUUGGAGAAGCCAGCAACUGCGAGAAAGUGCACGUCACGUUCCAUGUCACUGCAAAGAGCAGACAAACGAUCAUGACGAAGAAAUUAAGAUUCUUGCUGGGUGACUGCAAUCUUUUUUGAGCUGACAGAAAAACUGAGGGUGGAACAAUUGUUGCUUUGCUGCAAGUGUAGCCUCGGCCUGGACCGAAUAAAGUAAAAUUCUUUGGCAAUCUUACUGUUUUAUUGGUAGUACCAGAUUGACCAACAGUCACUUG